UUACACUGUUCCUCUUUGGACUUUCAGAAAUAAAAACCCAGCCCCCCUGGUGUGCAGUCACACUCGCGCCCUGAGGAGUGUUAAAAUUCAGCUCGAGAGGCACUUAGUGUCACAGAAGGGUAGAUAAAGAAACAAGAUUUCAAGCAGGAAGAAAUGAUAAAAAAGAAGCAGGACUUCAAGUGUCCUGUGAAACAGAGCAUUUGGCCUCCGGCAUACACAUCCAUGGGAGACGGCUCAACUUCUUUAUAAAGUGAGGAACCAAAUUGUGAAGACAUCUGUUCUGUUAUUAAUUUCACAUACAUCUUAAGCUCCUCAAGGCCAGAAAUGAGGCUUCAUUCACGUCGAAUUAAUGAAACAUGAUUGGGACUGAACACUGCACUCUGGGAAGCUCCAAAGAGUCAAGGUCAAAGCUCUUGCCCAGGCAUUCAAAGCCCUUCACGCAUUGUUCUCCCACAAACAACUGACCAGGUAAUUUAUGCUCUGUUGAUUUGGAUAAUUCCAAGAAAAACCUCAGUUGUUUUGUUAUUUUUACCAGA
rnacentral:lncRNA from 13 species